rnacentral:rRNA from 1 species
GGAGUUAGCCGGUGCUUCUUCUGUGAGUGAUGUCCUUCCUGCCGGCUAUUAACCCGCAGGCCUUCUUCCUCACUGAAAGUGCUUUACAACCCGAAGGCCUUCUUCACACACGCGGCAUGGCUGGAUCAGGGUUGCCCCCAUUGUCCAAUAUUCCCCACUUCUGCCUCCCGUAGGAGUCUGGGCCGUGUCUCAGUCCCAGUGUGGCUGAUCAUCCUCUCAGACCAGCUACGGAUCGUCGCCUUGGUGAGCCGUUACCUCACCAACCAGCUAAUCCGACAUAGGCUCAUCCGAUAGCGCGAGGCCCGAAGGUCCCCCGCUUUCCCCCGUAGGGCGUAUGCGGUAUUAGCCUGGGUUUCCCCAGGUUAUCCCCCACUACCGGGCAGAUUCCUAUGCAUUACUCACCCGUCCGCCGCUCGCCACCAGGGAGCAAGCUCCCCGUGCUGCCGCUCGACUUGCAUGUGUUAGGCCUGCCGCCAGCGUUCAAUCUGAGCCAUGAUCAAACUCUGA